UACGAAGGGGGCUAGCGUUGCUCGGAAUCACUGGGCGUAAAGCGUGCGUAGGUGGUGAGUUAAGUCUGUCGUGAAAGCCCCUGGCUCAACUGGGGGAGGUCAUGCGAGACUGUUCGGCUGGAGGGCAACAGAGGCACGUGGAACUCCCGGUGUAGCGGUGGAAUGCGUAGAGAUCGGGAAGAACACCAGUGGCGAAGGCGACGUGCUGGGUUGCACCUGACGCUGAGAUGCGAAAGUGUGGGGAGCAAACGGG
rnacentral:rRNA from 1 species